CCCGAAACCGGUGGAGCAUGUGGUUUAUUCGAAGCACGCGCAGAACCUUACCAACCUUUGACAUGUCCAGUAUGGGCUCCAGAGAUGGGGUUCUUCAGUUCGGCUGGCUGGAACACAGGUGCUGCAUGGCUGUCGUCAGCUCGUGUCGUGAGAUGUUGGGUUAAGUCCCGCAACGAGCGCAACCCUCGCCCUUAGUUGCCAUCAUUGAGUUGGGCACUCUAAGGGGACUGCCGGUGAUAAGCCGCGAGGAAGGUGGGGAUGACGUCAAGUCCUCAUGGCCCUUACAGGUUGGGCUACACACGUGCUACAAUGGCGGUGACAAUGGGCAGCUAAGGGGCGACCUGGAGCUAAUCCCAAAAAGCCGUCUCAGUUCGGAUUGCACUCUGCAACUCGAGUGCAUGAAGGUGGAAUCGCUAGUAAUCGUGGAUCAGAACGCCACGGUGAAUACGUUCCCGGGCCUUGUACACACCGCCCGUCACACCAUGGGAGUUGGUCUUACCCGACGGCGCUGCGCCAACCGCAAGGGGGCAGGCGACCACGGUAGGGUCAGCGACUGGGGUGAAGUCGUAACAAGGUAACCGAA
rnacentral:rRNA from 1 species